CAGUCUAUGUUCCAUCAGCUUGUUGGUGAGGUAAUGGCUCACCAAGGCUAUGACGGAUAUCUGGUUUGAGAGGAUGAUCAGACACACUGGAACUGAGACACGGUCCAGACUCCUACGGGAGGCAGCAGUGAGGAAUAUUGCACAAUGGAGGAAACUCUGAUGCAGCAACGCCGCGUGGAGGAUGACGCAUUUCGGUGUGUAAACUCCUUUUAUUAGGGAAGAUAAUGACGGUACCUAAUGAAUAAGCACCGGCUAACUCCGUGCCAGCAGCCGCGGUAAUACGGAGGGUGCAAGCGUUACUCGGAAUCACUGGGCGUAAAGGGUGCGUAGGCUGGCUUUUAAGUCAGAUGUGAAAUCCAAUGGCUCAACCAUUGAACUGCAUUUGAAACUGAAAGCCUAGAGUUCAGAAGGGGCAGAUGGAAUUAGUGGUGUAGGGGUAAAAUCCGUAGAUAUCACUAGGAAUAUCAAAAGCGAAGGCGAUCUGCUGGGAUGAUACUGACG
rnacentral:rRNA from 1 species